rnacentral:rRNA from 1 species
GAAGUCGGUGAGGUAACCGUAAGGAGCCAGCCGCCUAAGGUGGGAUAGAUGAUUGGGGUGAAGUCGUAACAAGGUAGCCGUAUCGGAAGGUGCGGCUGGAUCACCUCCUUUCUAAGGA